ACUCCUACGGGAGGCAGCAGUAGGGAAUCUUCCACAAUGGGCGCAAGCCUGAUGGAGCAACACCGCGUGAGUGAAGAAGGGUUUCGGCUCGUAAAGCUCUGUUGUUAAAGAAGAACACGUAUGAGAGUAACUGUUCAUACGUUGACGGUAUUUAACCAGAAAGUCACGGCUAACUACGUGCCAGCAGCCGCGGUAAUACGUAGGUGGCAAGCGUUAUCCGGAUUUAUUGGGCGUAAAGAGAGUGCAGGCGGUUUUCCAAGUCUGAUGUGAAAGCCUUCGGCUUAACCGGAGAAGUGCAUCGGAAACUGGAUAACUUGAGUGCAGAAGAGGGUAGUGGAACUCCAUGUGUAGCGGUGGAAUGCGUAGAUAUAUGGAAGAACACCAGUGGCGAAGGCGGCUACCUGGUCUGCAACUGACGCUGAGACUCGAAAGCAUGGGUAGCGAACAGGAUUAGAUACCCUGGUAGGAUAGCG
rnacentral:rRNA from 1 species